rnacentral:rRNA from 1 species
UACGGAGGGUGCGAGCGUUGUUCGGAAUUACUGGGCGUAAAGCGCGUGCAGGCGGCCGAUUAAGUCUGGUGUGAAAGCCCGGGGCUCACCCCCGGAAGUGCGCUGGAAACUGGUCGGCUAGAGUAUGGGAGAGGAAAGUGGAAUUCCCGGUGUAGCGGUGAAAUGCGUAGAUAUCGUAAGGAAGACCAGUGGCGAAGGCGGGUCUCUGGACAGUUCCUGACGCUGAGGCACGAAAGCGUGGGGAGCAAACAGG